rnacentral:lncRNA from 1 species
UAUAUUGUAACAACCCGUUAUCCCGGGCAUUAUAAACCGAGUCUUGUAACCCCUUUUGAAUGUAAUGGGAAUAUCAUCGAUAAAUGAAUUGUUCAAAAGCUCUGAUUUGGAGUACGCUAUGUAGUAGAUAUCGUCUUAAAGGUUCCAAAUAAAUAAAGAAACACUAAAAUCUGAGUUAUGGCGAAGAAGCUAUGACCAUUCUAAGAUUUCUGUCAAAACCGACAACACCGAUCAAACGAAUAACGCAAAGUUUCAAUACGAUAACAUUUAGCCUUAGGUAUCUAAAUGAAUGUCAUAGAUAACAUUAAACCGUGAGCGUACACAAAAAGAACGUCCAAAUCUGCCUUCGCAUGAGGAAGUUAUGAUUUUUCAAAGAAAUUCCUUAAAAGCGAUUAGUUAUAAAAUAAAUAAUAAAAAUAAUUUUGGAAUUUGCCAACGGAGUCUAAACGAAAGUUGUAGAUCGUAGUCUCACCUACGCGUGGAUAUAAAGACCAUCGAAAACGGAGUUCGUAUGAAGAAGAUAUGGAUUUUUGAAGUUAAUUAAAUAAAUUAAUUAAUUAUUUAAUUCAAAAUUCGGAUAUUAUCCGAAGAGGAGUCAGCGUCCUUCUCCGAAGUACGCGCUGCGUACUCCUGUACGCCCCGCGUAACCGAGAGGAUUGGCCUCGGAUCGUCCACGUCGCCAUAUCCGAGGAAGCCGACCCGUCCGACCCGUCCGACCCGUCCGACCCGACGUCCCAUCCGACCCGGCGUCCCAUCCGACCCACCUCCCCAGCAACCCGUCCCAUCCGACCCGAGAACCCAAGAACCCGUCCCAUCCGAACCGAGGCAGUCGAGGCUUCGGUCAUGCAUGACGUACGCGUACGCAGCGCGUACGAGCGUACGCCCCGCGUACCGAGGCAGACCUGCCUUCCUAUAAAUAGAAUGCGAGGGUUUCCAAAGAAAGGGUUCAUUUCUCUUCUCUCUCUCUCAGCAUUUCCUCGUUUUCCGUGUCCGUUCAAACCCGAAGCUCUGGUCUUUUUGGCUCAAGUCCCGAAGGCCGAUUCUACUCCCGAGAUUCCCGAGAAUCCCAAGAAAAAUCAGUUUCCCGAGACGAAACUCUGCUCGGUUUUCCACCUCACAAUCUUCAAACUAUCAAGUGAGUUCAUAUCCCCUUUGAACACUCUUUAAAUACAUUUUAAAUGUUUUAUACUCUUUUUGGGGAGGAAUACAAGUUAACACAUGACUAAAUUCGUGUGAAACAUUAACCUUUUGAUAUACUUUUCAUACUGUUGUUUUAACUAUCUUGUGAAGUUAUUAUGAUACAAAACCCCUCACAACACAGCUUUACCCUCUUUGGGAUAUAAUAUGUUUAUAAAUAGAAAUAUGUUUUAUUUAUACGUUUACAUACAAACACAUCAUAUCAAGGGUAACAUUCUUUACUAAGUCAUUUCAUGCAUUCAAAGAACUUAUGAUUAUGCUUUGUCAAACAUUGUGAAAGAGGUUAAACUUUGCAUACAAACUACUACCUUAUUACGGACUUAGUUGAGAAUCCAUGAGUCGUGUAUAUCUUCAAACGUUACUUUCUUUAUUAGAAAAUAAUGCUACAAGUCCUGUCUAUAACCAGAGUCUCCCGUUCGGAGAACGUGUCAAAUGUGUAUAGAUCUAUACGGGAAGUCAUGAUCCCGCGCCCUGACUGUUAGCUACAGUCCGUCUUUUGGGGUGACAGUUGUCAUAACGCUACGACGCCUGAAGAACGUCGCUACAGGCAUAUUAUGUUUAGUAUGGUUAUAAAACUCAUCGGAUAUACAAUUAUUAUGGUAUUAUGCUUUUAUGAACGAGUAGUCAUUAAAACUAUUCUUCAUCUAAUAAGUGCGAUCUUCGUAUAGCUUUACUAUGUAAAACUAUGACACAACUUACAAGCACGUCGCUUGCUUGCGAUUUUCGGUCUUAGAGACUGCCAGUUAUGUCAGGGAAAUAAGGGUUUUUCCUGUAUACAAACCAAACAACUAAUAGGAAAAUAAGGGAUUUUCUCGGUACAAUUAGUUGCAAUUUACAUCACGAACAUUCAUAUGCAUUGCAUACUUUUAUAAGAAAAUAAGGGUUUUUCUGGAAAACAUGCAAACACUUUCGAAUGGCAUACAUCUUCUCAAAACACUACUUAUGAACUCACCAACUUAAAUGUUGACACUUUUUCUUUGAAAUAACUUGUAUUCACAGGAAACCGCUAGCCAGGUAGCAACUACUUCUGAAGACUAACGCAUUGGCGUUAGUAACAUAUUUUGGAUCACCAUUUUAUAUUUGAUUUCUUUUGCAAACAUGUAACACCUACAAUCAUGUAAACUUUUCAAACAUAUUUAUAUUAUGGUGGUGUGUACUUUCCUUUCUAUGAACUGUUAUGAUACUGAAUAUGAUGUCCUCCGCCCCCGAACGAUUCCGCCGUUCAGGUUUGGGGGUGUGACAGAUUGGUAUCAGAGCUUCGUUUAUAGUGAAUUAAGUAUAUCAAAACCAUUUUUUUUUUACAACUAUAAACUCAACUGGGCAAAAACACUCUGAGAAGAGUCAUGCUUUUGAAAUUAAAUCUAUUUAGUUUUUGUAAGUAAGCAUGCAUUCAUUUAGUAAUAAAUAACAGUUCCACAUCGUACCAUAUUAGAAGUAUUAUUAAUGAGUUGUGCAGUACAGGUACGCCUUGGGACAUGUAAUCGGAACUGGGAAGGAUAUAGCCUGAUCAACUAUAUUUGUCCGAGAGCCGACUAACGUGUGCCGAGGGGUGUCUGCAGUGGACAACAAAUUUUAAAAACUUACCAAACCGUUAUUAGAAUCAAACACAAUAAUUUAAAUGCUAUAGGAGUAGUUGCUAUUUAAACUAACUUACAUGUUUUGCAUGUUCCGACUUUAUUCAAUUCUUAUGACCCUAUUUCUCGUACAGUCAAAUGGCUGGAUUUCACCACCCCAAUGACCCCUACUUUCCCAACCAAGGCAACGGAGGAUGGAUCGAAGAUGAUCCAGAAGAGGAUGAGGAACCCAUAGAAUUGGGUGAUGACUCCGGUACUGACUCAGAACCUGAAGUGAUCGAUCCACCACCCAUUCAACCUCCUGUCCAUGUGAGGAACUUCCAAGGACCCACUCCCGUCUGGGGAAGUCACCUACAUCAUUGGAGCCAACAACAAGGCAUACGCCCUCCCUACGGCAUGUGUCGGGACUUCUACGAUGUCCGCGGUGGCAGUUCGGCUGAUCGAGCACUCCCGGUAAUGGUUGGUAAGUUAGCCAAUCAGUCCUAUCAGUCCGGAGUACAAGCAAGCCGACUCCGGGAUAUCAACGUGGAAGUGCAGGUUCACACUUCCGAUAUCCGUAGGCUGGACAAGAUACAAGAUAAUGUCCAACUCCAGUCUGAGGCAUUUCAGGCACAGAUAAUUGCAGCCCUAGCCGAGUUAAGGGAGCAACAAGCCGCUUUUGAUCGACGCCUAAUGGAAUCGAAGCAAUCAGAUGCGGAGUCAAGCUCCAAGCGCAACCUACGUCGCAAGUAGUGCCUGCCAGGAUUUCAAAUUUUGUUAUAAAUUAGGACUUCGGAUAAGAAUUUCCUUUUCGUUAAAACUUUCUGUAAUCGGAGACCUUUAGAAAGGUCAAAAAGUUUUGUCUAAACUCGGAUGUAACACGACUAUAUGUUUUAUAUAUAUGGGGCAUACCCCCCUUCUCUGAUUUUAAAUAUGUGUAUUCCGUUCAACUCAUAAGUGCAUCCAUUCAAACGUUAUUAAUAAAUCAAGCUCAAAACCCAUUGUUGAUCAAACCAAAUUCUUAAUCUAUUUAAGGCAGUUAACUCAAUAUCAUUCAACUCACAACCACCAAAACUCAUAAUAUCUCAUUUUUUUUUUUGACAGAGCGAUGCCUCCUCGUAGAUCAGCACGUACCAACGCAACCCCACCACCACCUCCACCACUAACUUAUGAUCCGGCAAUGGUCCAGGCUGCUAUCACAGCAGCAGUAGCAGCAGCCCUCUCUCAAAUAAACUCCAAUGCCAAUGGAGGUACAGGAAGCAGCACGAAUCAUCCCAAUAGUGGCACCGGCCAGGGCCAUGUUAGAGAGUGUACUUACAAGGAGUUCUCCAACUCGAAGCCAAAGACUUUUAAUGGCAGUGGCGGAGUCAUUGCACUAAUGCAAUGGUUCGAAAAGACCGAAACGGUCUUCGAGAUCUGCUCGUGCCAAGAAACAAGCAAGGUUAAGUUCGCUGCUUGCACCUUCAUAGAUCGAGCCCUCACUUGGUGGAAAAGCCAUGUGAACUCAGUGACGCUCACUGUCGCUAACGCCAUGAGUUGGGAAGAACUGAAGGUACUACUACUGGAAGAAUACUGCCCAAGGGGUGAAGUGCAAAAGCUUGAGCAGGAACUCUGGAAUUUGAAAAUGGUCGGGUCUGACCUAGUCGCUUACACAGCUAGGUUCAACGAUCUCGCUGCUUUGUGCCCUACCAUGGUCAACCCAGAAUCAAAGAAGGUCGAAAGGUACAUUUGGGGGUUGUCACCCCAGAUUCAAGGGCAUGUCCUAGCCUCCAACCCUAUCACCUACAACAGCGCUAAACGCCUGGCGCAACGACUCAUCGAUCACGGAGCGAAACAGAGUACCAUCACAACAGCCGCAAAUCCACCUAGGGAGGCUCAGGGACAGAGUAGGCCUUGGAACAAGAGGAGGGGACAAAUCCUCCAGGAGAACCCCAAGAAACAACAAGUGAUAGCGACCCACGCUAUUACUGUACCUACCAACUCUGCCCCCACAAGUUCAUACAAUGGAAAGCUACCGAAAUGUAACCAGUGCAACUUCCACCAUCACGGUCUCUGUCAUGGCCUUCAAUGCACCAGGUGCAAUAAGAAGGGUCAUACAGCCCGCUAUUGCAAGGAGCCAACCCAACAAUCCGCCCCCACUGCUAAUACCGGAGUAAGCCGCGCUUGCUUUGAGUGCGGGAGCACAGGGCACUACCGCAAGGACUGCCCGAAGGCAAACAACAGGAAUACCGGCGGAAGAGGCCGAGUUUUCGCAAUGGGACAAGAUGAAGCCAUUGCGGACCCUACUGUUGUUACGGGUACGUUUCUUCUCGAUAACUCGUAUGCAUGCAUUUUGUUUGAUAGUGGAGCGGAAAGGAGUUUUGUGAGUCACGACUUUAAAAGCAUGCUAAAACCAAUACCACAAUCAUUAAGUGAACCGUUCAUAGUAGAAAUGGCCAACGGGAAAACUGAAGGCACUAAAGAGAUAUACUUAAACUGCACCCUAACUCUAAACGAUAAUCCCUUUCAAAUCAACCUCAUGCCAGUCUCGAUUAAGAGUUUCGAUGUCAUCAUUGGCAUGGAUUGGCUGAGUUCACAUCGUGCGGACAUUCUAUGUUACGAUAAGGCCGUUCGCCUUAAUCUGCCAACCGGCGAAACCUUCCUUGUCUUGGGCGACAAACCUAGUACCACUCUUAGAAUCAUCUCAAGUAUCCAAGCUCAGAAGCACUUACGAAAGGAGUGUCACGCAUUUCUUGCACAUGUUGUAGACGUGAAACGCGAAGUCCGGGACAUCAAGGAUGUGCCCGACGUAUGCGAUUUUCCCGAUGUGUUUCCCGAGGACCUUCCAGGGAUACCACCCGUAAGACAAGUCGAAUUCAGAAUCGAUCUGAUUCCCGGAGCUACCCCAGUAGCCAAAGCACCCUAUCGAUUAGCCCCGGCAGAGAUGCAGGAGCUAUCCAGUCAACUGAAUGAACUACUGGGAAAAGGAUUCAUCAGACCGAGCUUCUCACCAUGGGGAGCACCCGUGUUGUUUGUGAAAAAGAAAGAUGGAUCGUUCAGAAUGUGCAUCGACUACAGAGAACUCAACAAACUGACGGUCAAGAAUCGUUAUCCUCUACCGCGCAUAGAUGAUCUAUUCGACCAACUGCAAGGGGCGAACUAUUUUUCUAAGAUUGAUCUGAGGUCCGGGUAUCACCAGUUACGAGUGCUAGAGGAGGAUGUGCCGAAGACCGCCUUCCGAACUCGUUACGGACAUUACGAGUUCGUGGUGAUGCCAUUCGGAUUGACCAAUGCGCCCGCAGUCUUCAUGGAUCUGAUGAAUAGAGUAUGCCGACCUUACUUGGAUCAGUUCGUCAUCGUUUUCAUUGACGACAUCCUGAUCUACUCCCGAAGUAAGAAAGAGCAUGGCGAUCAUCUGCGACAAGUUCUAGGGAUAUUACGAAAAGAGAAACUUUAUGCGAAGUUCUCGAAAUGUGAAUUUUGGAUCCGAAGAGUCGAAUUCUUAGGACACGUGGUAAGCGAAGAGGGAAUCCACGUGGACCCAUCCAAAAUUAAGGCCAUUGAGAACUGGUCAGCACCGAAGACUCCUACAGAAAUUCGCCAAUUUCUAGGUCUCGCUGGCUACUACCGCAGGUUCAUUCAGAACUUCUCACGAAUAGCGAAGCCUCUUACAACCCUAACCCAGAAAGGUGUGGCCUUUGACUGGGAAGAGAAACAAGAAAGAGCGUUCCAAACGCUCAAACGAGCCUUGUGCACCGCACCAAUACUAUCCCUUCCCGAAGGAAUAGAAGACUUCGUAGUUUAUUGCGAUGCAUCAAACCAAGGACUCGGAUGUGUUCUGAUGCAGCGAGGUAAGGUCAUCGCCUACGCCUCGAGACAGUUGAAAACACAUGAGGUUAACUACACGACCCACGAUCUUGAGCUAGGAGCAGUAGUGUUUGCCCUGAAGAUCUGGAGACAUUACUUGUAUGGAACGAAGAGCACUAUCUUUACCGACCACAAGAGCUUACAACACAUUUUCGAUCAGAAGGAGCUCAACAUGAGACAACGGCGAUGGGUCGAGCUACUCAGUGAUUACGAAUGCGAUAUUCGCUAUCAUCCGGGAAAGGCAAACGUCGUAGCCGAUGCCCUUAGUCGAAAGGAGUACUCAGGCCGGAGAGUGAAGUCAUUAGCUAUGUCGAUCCAUUCGCACCUAUCAACGCAAGUCAAGGAAGCUCAAUUAGAGGCCUUGAAACCCGAAAACGUGGCAGGUGAGGCCCUUAGGGGAAUGGACAAGAACUUAGAAAUCAAGAGUGACGGAGCACGCUACCUCAUGAACCGGAUCUGGACACCAAAGUUUGGGGGAUUCAGAGAGGUAGUUAUGAGCGAGGCACACAGGACCCCAUACUCCGUACACCCAGGGUCAGACAAGAUGUAUCUAGAUCUCAAGCAACUCUACUGGUGGCCAAACAUGAAAGCGGAGAUCGCUACGUAUGUGGGCAAGUGUUUAACUUGCGCCAAAAUAAAAAUAGAACACCAAAAACCCUCAGGCCUACUCCAACAACCUGAAAUACCUGAGUGGAAAUGGGAGCAGAUUUCCAUGGACUUCAUAACCAAACUGCCCAAAACUCAGAGUGGCCAAGAUACUAUUUGGGUAAUCGUCGACAGAUUAACCAAGUCAGCCCAUUUCUUACCUAUCAAGGAAACCGAUAGGAUGGAAAAACUAUCAAGAACCUACAUCCGGGAGAUCGUACGACUUCAUGGAGUACCAAUGUCCAUCAUCUCAGAUAGAGACAGCAGGUUCACUUCCAGAUUUUGGCAAUCACUGCAAAAAUCCAUGGGAACAAGGUUGGACAUGAGUACAGCAUACCACCCUCAAACUGACGGACAGAGUGAGAGGACGAUCCAAACCUUGGAAGACAUGUUGCGAGCAUGUGUAAUCGACUUUGGCAAGGCAUGGGAUAUUCACUUGCCUUUGGUCGAGUUCUCUUAUAACAAUAGUUAUCAUACUAGUAUCAAGACCGCUCCGUUCGAAGCCCUUUACGGCCGUAAGUGCAGAUCACCCCUGUGCUGGACGGAAGUGGGCGACACCCAAUUGGCAAAAGGUCUAGUCACUAAAAGCACCCUUACUGGUCCAGAGAUCAUCAGAGAAACUACCGAAAAGAUCGUGCAAAUACGAGAACGACUGAAGUCCUCAAGGGAUAGGCAAAAGAGCUAUGCCGACAGGAGACGUAAACCCUUGGAAUUCCAGAUUGGCGACCGUGUGCUACUGAAGGUCUCACCCUGGAAAGGCGUGAUACGCUUUGGGAAGCGUGGAAAGCUAAAUCCCAGGUACAUUGGACCCUUCGAAAUCAUUUCGAGAGUUGGUCCAGUGGCCUACAAACUCCAACUUCCAAUCGAGCUUAACAAAGUGCAUCCAGUAUUCCACGUGUCGAACCUGAAAAAGUGUUUGUCCGACGAAACACUUGUAAUUCCACUCGAUGAAAUCGCGUUAAACGAAAAUCUCAACUUUGUGGAAGAACCCGUCGAGAUCAUGGAUAGGGAAGUUAAAAGGACCAAGCAGAGUCGCAUUCCAAUAGUAAAAGUUCGAUGGAAUGCUAAGAGAGGACCCGAAUUCACAUGGGAACGGGAAGACCAAAUGCUACAGAAGUAUCCGCAUCUCUUCCUCAGCCCCUAAAACUCUUACCUUGUAUUAAAUUUCGGGACGAAAUUCCGUUUAACGGGGGGAUGAUGUAACAACCCGUUAUCCCGGGCAUUAUAAACCGAGUCUUGUAACCCCUUUUGAAUGUAAUGGGAAUAUCAUCGAUAAAUGAAUUGUUCAAAAGCUCUGAUUUGGAGUACGCUAUGUAGUAGAUAUCGUCUUAAAGGUUCCAAAUAAAUAAAGAAACACUAAAAUCUGAGUUAUGGCGAAGAAGCUAUGACCAUUCUAAGAUUUCUGUCAAAACCGACAACACCGAUCAAACGAAAAACGCAAAGUUUCAAUACGAUAACAUUUAGCCUUAGGUAUCUAAAUGAAAGUCAUAGAUAACAUUAAACCGUGAGCGUACACAAAAAGAACGUCCAAAUCUG